GCAAAAAAAGAGGCCUGGUAGAUUCCGAUUACCGGGCCUUGGGAAAUGGCUCUGGCAGAGCCGUGCGCUAAAAUUGCCAUUGAGACGUUACAAAGUACACUCUAAUACUAGCUUUCAAUGCACGUUCUUACCAUAU
rfam:Providencia rettgeri Dmel1 chromosome, whole genome shotgun sequence.